UUGAGAUAUCAGCUGAUGUACGAAGGGCUAUAUAAAUACAUUUGAUUUGAUCAUUAUCUAUGGGUAGGAUACACUUGACUAGCCGCAAAGAAAGGGGGCUAUUGGGGAAACCUACUUGGUGGCUUUCCACACACCCCUCAUAAUUGAUCCUCUGUCUUUAAAGGGGCCAUUUGAUUGCUACAUACAUUUGACUUUUAAUUUCAUGACAUAUGGCCAUGGAUGCAUACAUAGCUCUAUGAAUUCGAGUGGUUACAUUUGUCUAUUCCAAUUCCUCAGCUGUUUCCCGAAACGGUGGCGGGGAAGCCUGCUGUGUUAUUGUUUGAACUGCAGAUUGCCUCUUCAAUCGAGAUUCGGUAAUAGACCGUCGCAAGAACACCACAGACGAGACAACUUUUCCGUCUGCUCUCGUGGAGUCUGAGAUUUUCGUGACCGCUACAGCCUUAGGUCAGUGUCCCCAACUGCACUCAGGAAGAUGACAUUGACCUCACCCUUCACCUAGCAAUGAACUCUGCUCUCCUAUAGAGGAGUGUGAUGACCGUAUGGAUGAUUUUCAUGUCGGUGCUGCUGACAGUAUUGAAGAGACUGGGUGCCAGGUGUCUGUUGGGCUUAAUAGCAGGUCACAAAAACAUUAUUUCCUUUAUUGUAAAAUUUGUCAACCAGAAAAUCAGCACAAAUCAUUCUGUGUGCAUUACUUCAGUGGUGGUAUGUAGCAUAAUAUUGAGUUUGUACAUGCACGCGUUCGUCAUAUUGUGUGCACCAUCAUGGGGUGUAACGUCUCUAGUUUUCUUCAGGUGUCUUUGCUUCGGAUACCCAUCCUUGGUGCCCCGCCAGCCCGCUUCUGCCGCCUCCCCUGUGUGGAAAGAUGUUUCACUGUGGGCCCAAAUAAAGCAUUGAGAUUUGUCUGUCUCUGUAUUGGCCAGAUGUGUGUGUGAUGCUGCUCUCCCUGUGAGUGCUGGCAGUGUCUGCUGUGCCAGGACCUCUGAUCUAGCGUUGCUGCAGGACUACAGUAGGACUGAUAAAGAACUGUGUAUGAGCCCUCCUGACCAAAUGGUGAGCCUUUUUUACUUCGCAGAGCAUGUCUGGGCACGUCUGCUACCUUUCACCUGGAAUAUGUGCAUCUGGGUACAUACGACUGCAUGCCCAGUUCUAUGAACAUGUCUACGCAUGUCUGGUAUUGUUUGCUGUGUCCGCAUCUAGUACUUAUUGACCCUGAUCCUAUUUUAGUGGAGAUGGUCUGUUUUUAGAUCCAGGGAAUAAUUUUUGAAUUGAAAAAGACAACAAAGGUAGAAUCAAAAUGUAAACCAUGUAUUUCUGAUGUGACCGGAUCUUGAUUGGUUAUUUUAACUCACUCAUCCAACCCACAGUUUUUUUUUUGUCUGGCCAUUAAAUCACCAUUGCUUCUGUUAGUUUGCCCACUCCAAGGUGCUUGUUUGUCCAGUGUAGUCUACACCAGUGUUUCUAACUCCAGUUUGCCCAACAGCACACAUUUGUGUUGUUGCCCCAAACAAACUAACCUGAUUCAACUCAUUGAGGGCCUGAUGAUUAGUUGACAAGUUGAAUCGGGUGUGCUUGUCCAGGGCUACAACAAAUAUUUGUGCUGUUUGGGGUACUGGAAGACUGGAGUUGGGAAACACUGGUGUGUGUGAACCAUCGCUUACCCUUUGGGGUCGACCCUACAGAGAUGUGAGCGCCUACUGCUUGUCCUUUCAUGCAAAAAGUACAGCAUUGUCCUCUACAGACCAGGAAAGGUAAUUGACAAGUGCAACUUAACGCAUUUAUGCAUACACAUCCUUAGCAUCCCUCUUUUAGUAUUGCCAUAGAUGGUGUUGGCUAUUAAAAUGUCACACACAAUCACAAGACUUUGAAUAUCGAUGUGAAUUUAAUGUUAAUAAAGAAUGUUGGUGAUGGUGUUCACUGGAAUGUUUAUUGCCAAGUAGGUUGCUGACAAAUGACUGGUCCCUUUAAUGAAGAAUGACUUCAAUUGUGUGUGUCAGAUAUACUGUAUACAAUUGCAGUUUGAUGUUAGUACGUUGUCUUGACUAGAGAAAUAUUGUAUUUUGACUCUCCCUCUCCUUAGCUCUCUUAACAUCGUCCUGAUACGGGGACUGUUGCUGCGGAAGCUGCCCUCACCGCACCCAGUCAGAAUUUGUGUCCGAUGUCUGGCUUCUCCACACACUGUUGAAGAGCGUGAAGUAUUCCAAGUCAGUGGACCGACUUGAGGCAUGUUUCGGGAGGGUGCUGGUCAAAACGCUUGUGGGGAUCCUGCACCCUUCGCUGCUCGUCAACCCCCACCAAGGGGAAGUGGAGAGGAGUGCAGAACAAGAGGGGGACAAGGAGAAAGUGUCCAUGAGGAGAAUCCAAGGCCUCUAGAGGAGAGUUCUUUCACACAGGACUCGAUGAAAGAUGGAGAAUGGCAGCAGAAGGCUGUAUUUGUGUAUUUAAUUUGGUCUUUGAAUUCCUUGGUGAACAUAUUUGUACAUAGUUGCAGCCAAAUAUUGUCACCCUUGCACCUUUUUUUCCUUUAAAAAAAAAUAUUUAUUCUAAAAUAACUAGAAAUUUGGAAAAACCUUUGGAAUCUACACCUUACUGUAUUUUCAACUUUACAGACCCAAUUUACCCAAUUGGUAAAUUUAAGUUUACAAUUUGGCAUGUACAAAAUGAUUGGCAAGUACUUGGUUGCAUAGCCUUUGGCCAAGAACUACAGACAAAUGCUUCUUGUAGGCAUCAGUAAGCUGGCUGCAUCUUAUUACUGGUGAUUUUACUCAGCCUUCAGAAGCAAACUGCUCUAAUUCUUUAAUGUUUGAGGGGUGCCCUCCACCAACUGCUGUUGUCAACUCUCGCCAUAGGUUAUGGAUGUGGCAACUGCUCGGCCUCGUUCCUGCCAUCCAGGACCUCCUAUACCAGGCGGUGUCAGAGGAGGCCCUAAAAAUUGACAGACUCCAGCCACCCUAGUCAUAGACUGUUCUCUCUGCUACCGCACGGCAAGCUGUGCCAAGUCUAGGUCCAAAGGUCUUAACAGCUUUUACCCCCAAGCCAUAACUCCUGAACAGCUAAUCAAAUGGCUACCCAGACUAUUUUCAUUGCCCCCUCUCCCGCACCUCUUUUAUGCUGCUGCUACUCUGUGUAUUAUCUAUACAUAGUCACUUUAACUCUACCUACAUGUACAUAUUACCUCAAUUACUUCUACUAACCGGUACCUACUCACAUUGUCUCUGUACCAGUACCCCCUGUAUAUAGCCUCGCUAUUUGUUAUUUUACUGCUGCUCUUUAAUCAUUUGUUACUUUUAUAUAAUUUGGUUGUGUAUGUAUAUAUUUUUUUUAACUUAACACUUAUUUUUCUUACAAGCUCUUAACCAACAAUGCAGUUAAGUAAGCAUUUCACUGUAAGGUCAACACCUGUUGUAUUCGGCGCAUGUGACAAAUACAAUUUGAUUUGAUUCAGAUCUGGCCACUCCAGAACAGUCCAGCGUUUUCUUCUUGAACCAUUCCAGGGUGCCUUUGAUAUUUGUUUGGGGUUGUUGUCCUGCUGAAAUUACCAUCAACCUUCCAACCAAGACCAAGUGUUUGGACACUGGGUUGAACAUUGCACUCCAAAACACCUUAAUAAUCUGCUGUUUUGCUUAUGUACAAGGCCCCAAGCACCAAAGGCAGCAAAGCAACCCCACAGCAUUAUCAAACCUUCCCUAUGUGUGUAGUUAUUUUCUUAAUUUGGUUGUUGGUUACCAUAGGAAGCCCCCACUCCCCGAAGAAGGCUCAAGAAAGCCUGAUUGAAUGCUGGACUGUAGUGGAGUGGCCAGCCAAUAUUCCAGAUCUACAUCCCAUCCAAAACCUAUGGUAAGAGCUGAAAAUAGCAGUUGGAAAAAUAAGAGCAGUUUGCUGUGAAGUGGGACAAAUUUGCCAGUAGGAAGGUGCAGCAAGCUCAUUGAUGGUACAAGAAGUGUUUGUCUGCAGUUGGCCAAAGGCUAAUUUUGUCUGCCAAUUGUUUUUCUUUUCUAAAUUAGUAGUUUGCAAAAAUACAAUGGGUUCUAGAAUGUUGCAAAUCCAAGGUCUGGAGACAAAGUUCUAAAUUUCAAACUAUUUUUGAAGAAAUGGGGAAUUAAUUGAGAAGUGCAAGGGUGCCAACUAGUUUGUUACAAAGUUUAUCCCUCGUGUAAAAAUCAACAAUGUUGCACAUGGUUUGACUUUUGGGAUUUAAUUCACCUUUUGUCUAUUUACAAUAAAUACUUCUGUGCAUCUUA